rnacentral:rRNA from 1 species
UACGGGGGGGGCAAGCGUUGUUCGGAAUUACUGGGCGUAAAGGGUUAGUAGGUGGCCAACUAAGUCAGACGUGAAAUCCCUCAGCUUAACUGGGGAACUGCGUCUGAGACUGAUUGGCUCGAGGACAGGAGAGGAACGCGGAAUUCCAGGUGUAGCGGUGAAAUGACGCAGAUAUCAGGAGGAACACCAGUGGCGAAGGCGGCUCACUGGCCCGGUACUGACGCUGAGGUGCGAAAGCGUGGGGAGCAAACAGG